UGCUGUGCGGUUCGUGUGACGGACGAAAAAAAUAUUAAUUCAGCGUUUUACCAAUCGUUUAAUACAAUAAAAACACGCGCAGCGCUGCCGACCACGCAAAGAAAUAUCAAAAGCAAAAGUGAAUAACAUUUAGAGCUACCGAAAAAACGCCCAAGCUGUUUGCAAACUUCACAAAACAGCUGCAAUUAAAUAAAAGUAAUUAAAACGCAUUGUUUAUAAACCGUUGGAUGUUUGCGAAGCUCAUCAAAAAAGCCCAGGAAUUUUUCAUCAAAUAAAGAAUUUCAUAUGCGCUUGAUGCCUGACGCGUUUGCGUAUGGAUGUGUGUGUGCUUGAAUGCCCUAAAAGUGUGUGUUCGUAGGCGUGUGUGUGGUCCAGUUUUGUGUAUAACACGAAAGAAAAUUGUGCUCUGUGUCCUUUGAAGGUGCUUUAAGGUUGAAUGUUUGUAGCCACCUAAAUACAAAUUAUAAAAAAACGAAACUGGACAGCAUCAAAGAACUGGCAGCGCAGUCAUCAGGAUAACGAAUUAGUCAUCCAGCAGAAAAACACGGCAGCGCAUCCAGCUUGCCUGUGUUGGUGCGUAUCUACACGCAUGAAUGUGUGUGUCGCCGGUUUUUUGCACACUGUCACAGCUAUAAGAGCAAGCAGAACAGCAAUAACAACAGGAAUAACAACAACAACAACUUGUUCUCCAUGCAUCGCUUAACCCCUGCGUGGUAGUAACAACAAAAACAACGACAUUAACUGUGAACGCUAAGGAAAUUGAGAAUGGAACGCAAAUUUACGCGUGGCUUGAAUAAGCCGGGCAUGGCAGCACAGCUGAGAGAGAGCGUCUCUCAGGUGGUGCGUGAGAGCGCGGUUUUGAGUAAACCCGCAGUUGUGGAGCCCAUCGAUUUCGAAGCCUUUAUAGCCAAAAAUAAAACGCUUAUACAGAAUGAUCCCCAGCGGGAGCUACUUAUCUAUCCAGCUGACGAUGUCUCGGAGAUCAUUAUGCCUCGCAAGCAGCGCAGCAAUGCCAAGUCUGUGGCAGAUCGCUUUGAGCCGCCCAACGAGGCGAUUGUGUGUCCACUGCAUGGCUCCAUGGCGCUGGCAAGUAAUGGCCACAGUCAGGUGAGUCGCCAGGGCAGUCUGCAGUCGAAUGGCAGCCACCAGAAUGGCCACAGCAGCAACACAAGUCUAUCCAAUGGCAAUGGACAGUUGUCGCGCAAGAGUUCACAGUGCUCCAACGGCUCGACGAGUCGACAGGAGAAAUUAUCGCAUGAAUCCUUCGAAUCGGCACUGUCAUCGACCACGCUGCGUUCGCAUCUGGCGCAGCCUGAAGAGGUAGAUGAGUAUGCGGAUGAAGAGGAGGAGGAGAGGCAUGCGCCUUGCGAAGAUGUCACAGAUGGAAGUGCGCCAGGCACAAGAGCAGAGUGCACACGCUUCACACGGCAAGCGCUUUAUACGUAUCGUGCCAAGAAUCAUUUAAUACACUAUAAAUACAGCGCAUAUGGCGGAAACUGCCACGAUCUGCCCAGCACUUCACCUGGCGAGGAACUCGUGGAGGAAGUCUAUGAAAUCGAUGCGGAUCAGGAUCGCAUUGAUGAGCAGAUGACGCGCUCCCAAGCGGACACCAUCACCAAGCAGGGCUAUCUGCUAAAAGGACCCGACUCCGCCUCGGAUCGCAUGUUUGCCAACAUUGGAAACAAAUCCUUCAAGCGUCGCUACUGCUAUCUGCGGCAGGAGGUUGACGGCACCUAUAUGCUGGAGCUGCACAAGGACGAGAAGCAGGGCGAAGCCAAGGCUACCAUUGUCAUGGACUUUUGCACCGAAGUGGUGCAGAAUCCCAAGCGAGGACGCUUCUGCUUUGAGUUGCGCAUGACGGCUGGCCACAAAUCAUUCACAUUGGCUGCAGAGAACGAGCAGGACUUUAGGGACUGGCUGAGCAAGCUGUCCUCGGUUUUGGCGCAGAACAAGGCGCAAGAAGAGAAGCGCAAUGCCUCUCUGGAGCGUCAACCCUCAGGCAAUGCCACGCCCACACCCAGUCCACAGCUACAGCCGCCAGCCAUGGAGCCACCCACGUUUGGCACACUCAAGGGACUAGAUCAAUCGCUGCAUCCGCAGCUAAUGAAGUAUGGCCGUGAAACUGAUCACUCCAUAGCGUUGGCGCGUCGUGAGCAGCGGCGACGUCUCUUUGCCAGCUAUCCCAGUGCCAACAAGGCUGCUGUGGCCGACAACACGGAUCAGUAUCGCGAGCACUUUGGCAUGCGUCUGCUGUUGCGAUGUCACAGGCUCAGCUUCAAGCUGCAGUGCCAACCGGAAGGAGCUGGAGGAGAACAGUUGUGUCAGGUGGAACCAUACAUCACCAGUUUGUCGCUGUACGAUGCCAAAGCGGGACGCAAGCUCAGCGAGAACUUCUACUUCAAUGUAAAUGAAGCGUCAGCUUUCCAAUUACUACCUAACACUCCAGUGCCCGCUUCUGUUUCGGGUUGCGGGGUGCCCCGGCGUGGUGAGAAUGAUUCCAGCCAUGCGGCACAAGCGGCGCACUCUCUCUUUGAUGGUGUCUCUUCGGAGCUGUUGCGAUGCCCGCGCCAGCAGUUCCAGCAGCUGAGGCAGUGUGUGCUCUCGGUGACGGCGCCGCAUGCAGAGAUCUAUCUGGUGUUGCGCAUUGAGAAGGUGCUGCAGUGCAGCAUUCAACAGGCCGCAGAGCCUUAUGUAAAAGGGGCCCGGGGUGAUGCUAAGCAAGGCCAGAAAACGCACAAGGCGGCAAAGAGUUGUGCCCAGCACAUUGGCCACUAUCGUCAGCCCUUUGCCUGGGCUGCGCGACCACUGUUCAAGGCCUACAGCCACGAGCUGGACGUGGAGUCACAGCGAGAGUUCGACUUCAAUACAAUCUAUCGCCAGGAGCCGGUGAAACUACGCGACGAAGAAUUGUUGCGUCUGCUGGCCGACUAUCGCAAGCCAGAGAAGCUAAGCAAAUUGACUAUUAUACCGGGUAGAAUGAGCUUGGAGCUGCAGCUGCUGGAUCAGACGCCGCCCUGUGGACUCAGCAAGUCGCUGGCUCCGUUGUCCAGCUUUAGUCCCGCUGCAAAGCAGUCGUUAACGCUCGAGCUAAACGAAUUUCAGAGCCAGCACGAACGUGAUGCGUUUCCGUACACAAACUUCUGCAAUCAUCUGUAUGUCUAUCCACUGAGUCUACAGUUCGACAGCCAGAAGAUCUUCUCGCGGGCACGCAACAUCACAGUCGUUGUGGAGUUACGCGAUGGUGAUGGCGAGUACAGCAAACCACUGAAGUGCAUCUAUGGCAGACCUGGACAGGAUCUGCUGGUGUCACAGCUAGCAUGUCCCGUGCUGCAUCACAAUGUCACGCCCACUUGGUACGAGGAGAUUAAGCUGCGUUUGCCACUCGGACUUUUCCCCGAGCAUCACUUGCUUUUCUCCUUCUACCAUGUCUCGUGCAAUCUGAGCAAGAAACGCGAUGCACACGCUUCGUUCGAGACACCCAUUGGCUACGCCUGGCUGCCGUUGCUGCAGAAGCAUCGCAUCUGUCUGGAGGAGAAGCUGCUGCCUGUCGCUGCCACACUGCCUGUGGGUUAUCUAUCCAUACAGCCACUGGGAUUGGGCAAAGGGCAGAACUGCGGCCCCGACAUUCAGUGGAUCGACAACCAGCGACCGGUCUACAGCGUCGGUCUUCGUCUCGACUCUACGGUGCUCACCUCGGAUCAGCAUCUGCACAAUUUCUUUGCGCACUGCGAGCGUCUGCUGGAGGGUGGCAAGACUGGCGCUUUACCUGCGGAAAUGGAAACCUGCAAAAUACUGAAGGCAGCACAUGCCAUCGAUAUGCGAUCACUGAUCAAUUUCUUGCCCACGCUGCUCAACGAACUGUUCACGUUGCUUGUGCACACGCAGUCCGAGGAGAUUGGUCAGAAUGUCAUACGACUGCUCACAAACAUCAUCCAUCUGAUCAGCGAUGAGGCGAAUCGCACCGAUCUACUAUCGGCAUAUGUAAAGUAUGUGUUCCAUGCGCCUUACUACAGUCAACAGACUGCGCGCAUGCGCACUGUGCAUGGCGAACUGUGUCGCCAUCUGCCCAACUUGCUGAAUCCGAGCAAUACAGACUUUUUGGUGGUCAACAAGUUCAUGCGCUACUCAUCAAUCUUCUUUGAUUUGAUUGUGAAGAGCAUGGCUCAACAUCUGCUGGCCACGGGGCGUAUACGUAUGCUGCGCAACGAACGCUUUCCCAAGGAGUAUUCAGAUCGCGUAGAGCAGUUGAUCAAAGUCUUGGUGCCGUACAUAGUGACACGCUACGAGGAUCUGGGGGAGGAGACGCAACAAUUGAAUCGUUCGCUUGCACGAUUUGUGCGUCAGUGCCUCAGCUAUAUGGAUCGUGGAUUUGUCUUUAAACUGAUUCGCUUCUAUAUGGAACAGUUUACGCCGGGAAAUGCACGUGUGCUGCACGAGUACAAGUUUAAUUUUCUGCAGGAGAUUUGCCAGCACGAACACUAUGUGCCCCUCAAUCUGCCAUUUGUGCUGAAUCCCAAAAACCGUCCGCCCGAAUUGCUGCAACAUUUCACGCUCUCAGAACAGUUUUGCCGACAGCACUUCCUUUCCGGACUGCUGCUGCAGGAACUGAAGAGCAGUCUCAACGAGGUGGGACAUGUGCGACGCCAUGCGCUUGCAAUCUUCAAGGAUCUGCUGGCCAAGCACGAGCUGGAUGCUCGUUAUCAGCAACGUGGACAACUCUCGCGCAUUGCAUUGCUCUAUGUGCCGUGGCUGGGCAUUGUCAUGGAUAAUUUGCAGCGCAUUGAUGACUUGGCAGAGUCUGGAGCCUGCACACCCAAUGGCCACGUCUAUGCGGACUCUGCGUCGUAUACGAAACGUUUGAGCUGCUCCAGUAGCUAUGUGUUUAGCAAGGACUCAUCUACGUUUGGCUCGCUGACGUCGACGCCGCGAUCGAAAAACCGAUUGACGCUUCACAUUGAUCAACCAAGUCCUUGCCGCACUUCGAUGCACAUUAAGGAGCACAAUUAUCUGGCUGCCAUUGCGGGAUCAGCCAUCAGCAAUGGCGUCUCGAAUCUCUCGCUCAACUCCAACUCCGACUCGGGCCACUCGCAGGACACGACUACCAUUGGCGCCUACACAAAUGGCGACACAGAUGUUGCACUGCGCAACGGCCACAAUCGUUCGGUGAGCGUCACGCAUGCCCAAAUCCUCGCCAGAUGCGACAAGUUCAGCGCUGCGGAGAGCAAGGAUUUGUUGCUGGGUUUCCUCUUUAUUGUGAAGCAUUUGUCGCAAGAUCAAAUGAUUGGAUGGUGGCAGAACUGUAAUGAGACAGAAACCUUUCAAUUUCUGUCCAUUUUGGACUUGUGUUUGCUGCAAUUCCGUUACGUGGGCAAGAAGAAUGUGACUUUGCCCACAGAUGGACGCACCACACGUCCCAACAAGGCGCACACAUUGCCCGCACGCACGGCGCCGCCAGUACUGGAGAAUGGCAACCCGGAAGCAAGUAAUGGCACAGGCACACUCACACAAACGCGUGAGCAUUUGCUUGAGGACAUGGACUUGUGUGCGAGGUCACAGCAGGCGCUGUACGAGUCCAAUUUGGCCACAGAGGUUGGCAUGAUCAUACUCGACUGUUUGGGUCUCUAUGUGCUGCAAUUUCGCCAGCUGCUGGCGGAUAGUUUGGUGCUUCCAAAGCUAGCGCGUGUCUAUCUGCGCUUCCUGCAACUGGGACAGUCGGAGAGAUUGUCGAAGCACGUCUUUGCUGCGUUGCGCGCUUUCAUUAACAACUACUCGAUGGCGCUGUUUAAGGGCAAUGCCAUGCUAUGUGGUCAGAUGGUCUAUGAGCUUCUGAAGGCCUGCGACAGUCGGCUGGUGGACAUACGCCAUGAAUCCUGUGCCGUGCUUUAUUUACUGAUGCGCAGCAACUUUGAAUUUAGCGGCAGGAAGGCGUUGACUCGGGUGCACCUUCAAGUAAUCAUUUCGGUGUCGCAGAUGAUUGGCAAUGUAAUUGGCCUGAACAAUGCACGCUUUCAGGAGAGUUUGUCCAUUAUCAACAGUUAUGCGAACAGUGACAAGGCAAUGAAAGGCACAGGAUUCCCCCUGGAGGUGAAGGAUCUUACGAGGAGGGUACGCACAGUGCUCAUGGCCACUGCACAGAUGCAGGCACAUCACAUGGAUCCAGAGCGACUCUUGGAGCUGCAGUACUCGCUGGCCAAUUCGUAUGCUUCGACGCCAGAACUGCGACACACUUGGCUAGUCACCAUGGCACGGAAUCACGAACAAAAUGGGAAUCUCUCGGAGGCCGCAUGCUGUCAUCUGCAUAUCGCAGCGCUGAUGUGCGAGUAUCUCCGUCUACGAGGUGGCUGCACCUUGAGCUGGUCCUCGACGGCCUUUGGUAAGAUCUCGCGCAAUAUUCCACUGGAUGAGCAGGGCCUGAAACUGGAUGCAGGUGCACAGGACUCGCAGUACACAGAGCAAAUGCUGCUAGAACAGCUGAAGCAAUGUGCUGAUUUUCUCGAUCGUGCUGAACGUUUUGAGUGCCUCGGUGAGCUCUACAAGCUUAUACUGCCCAUCUAUGAGCGUGCCCGCAGCUUCAUCGAGUUGGCUCACUGUUACGAGCAUCUCACUCAAGCCUACAACAAGAUCGUCGAGGUCAAUCGCUCUGGGAAGCGUAUGCUGGGUCGCUUCUAUCGAGUUGUGUUCUAUGGCAUGAUGUAUUUCGAGGAGGAUCACGCUAUUGAGUAUGUCUACAAAGAGCCCAAGCUGACGUCUCUUAGUGAAAUCUCUGAGCGCUUGGCCAAGCAGUAUAAGGAAAAGUUUGGCGCCGAUGUUGUUAAACUAAUUAUGGAUUCAUCACCGGUAAAAGUUGACGAACUCGAUACCAAACUGGCCUACAUACAGGUGACGCAUGUGAUACCGUUCUUCAGCAAGGACGAACUCGAUCAGCGACUCAAUGAAUUUGAGCAGAACCACGACGUGGACACGUUCAUGUACGAGACACCGUUCACCCAAUCGGGCGCAGCACGCGGUAGCGUAGAGGAACAAUGGAAACGCAAGACAGUCAUCAAGACUCAAUAUUCAUUUCCCUAUGUGCUGAAACGCAUACCCGUCAAAUCCCGUGAGAUUAUCGAGCUGAGCCCCAUUGAGGUGGCCAUCGAUGAGAUGCAAUCAAAGGUUUCAGAGCUGGAGGAAAUUAUAUUGCCGCCAGCGGAUGUAAAAAAGCUGCAGCUGCGUUUGCAGGGCAGCGUGGCAGUUACAGUGAAUGCAGGUCCUUUGGCCUAUGCCCAUGCUUUCCUUGAUGCCAAGGUGAUCAAUAACUUUUCACUGGAUCGUGUCGACGACUUAAAGGAUGUAUUUCGCGAUUUCAUUGGCGUCUGUCACAAGGCGUUACGUGUGAACGAGCGCAUGAUCAGUGCGGAUCAAAAGGAGUAUCAUCAUGCGCUUAAGGAGAACUAUGAGAAACUUUGUCAAGCGCUCAGUGAGUUACUGCAGGACGAAUCAUUCCAACCGCUUAGCGAUGAUGCCGACGCCGCCGCCCAGCGCAAUAGCAUGGCUUUAUUCAAUGCGAUCAGUGGCGCCUCACAUAACUCAAGUACUGCUUAAGUUCAACCACAAACAAACAAAACACAUACACACACAGUUACCAAUAGAAAAAAACAAAACAAAACACUCACGCACAGCUACUAAAAUGGUUAUUACAAUUACUCAAAUAACAAGCCAAGUAGUAGAAGCCUAAUUCCAGUAGCAUUAUCAACUUGUUCGUUUUUUGGUGUUCCCCUUUUUUGUAUGAUGUAUGAGCUAUAACUUUGAUCUUUGAUGUUUGAUGUUGUCGUUGUCGUUGCCGUUGUUGUUUCUGUGGCAGCAGGUUUUGGUUUUGCCGUUUAUUAAAGCCCAAAUGCAAACCGUCAAAUACAAAUACCAAUACUACUGCAUACCCCACAUACUCGUACACAUACACACGCACACACAGCCAACUGACCUGUUGACCAGUUGACCAAGUUCCAGUACACUCGACAACAACAUAUAAACAAAACAAAAAAGCCACAAGCACUUGUUGAUUUUUGUAUAACGAAACGAAUCUUUAAUUGUUGUUAAAUUACAUAUGACUAUGUAAUUGUAUAUAUAGAUUGAGCUUAAUUCUGAUUGUACAUUUCUUGAUUUCUAUUAUUAUUUAAUUAUUACGAUUCCAGUGUGCAGAAUGCCUACAAAAACUGACAGAUGAUUUAACUAUAACUAUAUUUAAAUAUAUAAUUAAUGUUUAGUAAUCGCAAUGACGAGCUCCCCCUAUUAUUAAUAAUAGAUGAAAUCUGCUAACUUUGUGUCUUCUUCGAAACUCAACUGUUUAAUAAUUUAAUUAUUACACUCGUAUGAUAAACAAAACUUACCUAAUACUUACCAGUAAUUGUAAUUGUAGCUCUUAAGUUCCAGAACAGAGAAGCAACAGAACUUACCAAAGUAUUCAGAAAAAGAAAAGCAAAAACGAAAAUAUCAUAACUAUGAUACAACAAAUACAUGAAUAUAUAUUUACAUGCAUUUUCUAGUGAAAUCGAAUAACGAAUAUUUAAAUCAAAUAAAUGUUUAAAAAAUAUA